CAUUUCGCCUCUAUACAAUUUUAACAAGAAGGUAUUGGAUCCGGAUCUAACGAUCCAAAGCAUCCAUCUACGACCAACUCGUAAUUUAUGUUUUAGUGGUAUCACAACUUUAGUUGGGAUUAGUCACUACCUUGCAACCUUUUGGGUUUUAAGCAUCAUUAUAUUCUAAAUAGUUAACACUACCAUAUCAUCUCUACUAUAGAGACAAUCAAUUAGAUUACUAUAAUCCAAUCAUUGAUUAAUAAAGAACAAUGUUUUGUCAAACAAAACAUUUAUCCAUUUCACAUAGUGACGGAAUUUAGUUCCUUAAAAUUGGAAUGUAAAGACAAUCUUUGGUUUUUCCAAUUUCUUUGGUAGUUCAUAUGAGGAAGUAA
rnacentral:lncRNA from 1 species